rnacentral:lncRNA from 1 species
UUUUGUAUUUAGUUUUUAUGCAAGAGUCAAUAGUUUUCUCCUAUGUUCCUUUUUAUUUUUCUCUUCUGCAAGCAUCAUCUCGUGGGGAAAGAUCUAGGCACAUAUAUCCCGUUGGAUAUGAGUGAUCAUGAGUUAUUAUUAAUGACAUCACCCUUGAGGUGAAUAUGUUGGGAGGUAAAACUAUAAGCCCCUAUCUUUCUGUGUAUCUCACUGAAACAUUUUGCCCAAUAAUAUGGUGUGAGUGUUAGCAAUCAUAGAAUACUAAAUGAUAGUUGAGUAUGAGUACUUGCCAAAAAGGAUCCGGCAUGAGACCCUUCUUGAAAUAUGAUGAAUUGUAAUUGCAUUGCUGACUAAGAAUAUAGUUUGUUAGUUUUCAAGAAAGUUUAUUCCUUAUACUUUGAUGUUGUGAUGAAUUGUUACUUGCUCAUUAGAAGUUCU